CCGGACCACGCCUGGCUGAGGGUC
rnacentral:rRNA from 1 species